GCCUAUGCUCCCUUCUAUACGUUCGAGGAGUGUAUAUUUAUACGUGAAAUCUCCUUGCUUUUUUCAUCUUUUUUUCUUUCUCUUUCCACUUCUCCUUCUCCUUCUCCCUCUUCGUUACUUAUCUCGAUACACGAUCUGCUGCCUCUGCUCCUUCAUCCAGCAACGUAACUCAUAACGGAACCUUUAUGAACGUUUCUUAUCCCUUUUUCAAAAUCUUCUUUUUCUCCAUUCCUUAUUUGUUCCUAUUUAAAAUUCUGAAGAGUGUGAUCAACUUCCGAUGGGUAAGGAAACCAUUAUUUACAUAUCUUCAAAUUUAGCGAUCGUAUAUACCAUUCCAUUCCUUUUGUUAUAUGUUGUAUGUAUGUAUGUAUGUAUGUAUGUAUGUCGCGUUUGGUCGUUCCUCUGUUGUCUCUCGUAAUGCGUUUUAAACAGAACACUUCGUGAACUCCAACAGUAUCGGAUUGAUACGAUACAACGUCAUGAAUUAAACGAAAACAUUGUUCUCAUGAGACGACGUUAAUAACAACACCGUAGACUAAUUCAAUCAACGAUUAUAAUCGAAAUCAAUUAUAAUCAUUAUCAAUUGCAAUUAACGAUUAAACUAAUUAUUUGAUUAUUAUUUGGAGUAAUGAUCACUCGACAUUUUACAGUGUGCAUUUACCAAAUAAGUUAUUGAUGAUUCGUGACAUAUCUACGAAGAGGUUAGUCAAUGAUACGCGUGUCUACGGAGUAAUUCGUCAAUGUCGACGAAACUUUUCAUUAUGUAAUUAAAUGUAUGACUAAGUAACUAAUUUUAUUUGUUAAUCGAAUGAAAUAUUGUCGAAUGUUAACAUCAACCACAUACAUUAUGUUAUUUCUUUUUUUAUUACAUAGCCGACGGAUUCGAGAUCGAAUUACGAAGGAACGUCCUUGUUAGUUUAUUUACAUAAACUAUUCGUUCUUCCUUAUUUUUCUUCUUUCUGUCUUUAUCAGCCCUUCUUUUACUUUACGCUUCUAGUACGUAGACGAGGUUUUUAGGUCGAUAAUUAAUUAAUCGUAAAAAAACCUACUGCGAAGGAUCGUAGCUAACGUCGUAGUUCUAUAAUUACGUAAGUCCUUUGAAAAUGAUGCUCUUAUAGUCUUAUCUUGAAAUAGCAUAUGCACAUCUACGCUGACAUAUACAUAGAUAAACUAAUGUAUAAUAUGUGUGUGUGUGUGUGUGAUACAUUGUACACACGUCUUUCCAUUAUCUGAUCUCUCUUAGGAUCUAGCCUCAUUAUCUAUUAAUUAUCUAUCAGAAUCUGAUUCGGAAUACAGAUAUGUAUUAACCUUAUUCGUGAUUAAAAUUAGUCUACGGUGUUGUUAUUAAUAUCGUCUUAUCUCGAAAAACAAAAAUGUUUCAUGGAUAACAAAGAUGACGAACAAUUUUUAUAAAUAACUUUUAAGAUAGAAACAUGAUAUUGAUAGAACGUAAAGAUAUUUUGAAUUUAUAAUAAUAAGUAAAUUAUUUAAACGAUUAAGUAAGAUGAGAGAGUGAAUCCUUCGUAGGUUAUUAUUAUUAUUGAAUGCAGGUUAUCUUUGUUAAUUACGAUCUAAUUUCGUAUGCUGUGAACGCGCAGACUGAUGUUACGAGCUUGCUACGUAAGCGAUAUUCCCUCUGAACUAUGCGCAUGCGCACAACGUUGAUGUUUCCACAAAUACAAAAUAUUUUUCGCGCAAAAACGAUUCAUUUGUUUUUUUUUUUUUUAAAUCGUCUAACCUUAUAAUUAUAAUGAGAUAUAGAUAAUAAAUACUUGGUCAUUUGAAGAAAUAAUGGUAUUUAGUAUUAUCAUACCAUGCAGUCAUUAAAAUUCUUUACUUUACCUGAAGAACAUCAAGGCCGUGCAGGUGAAAAAAAAUUAGAGAAAAAAUUGCUUUCAAGUAAUAUUGAUAUCCAAUUGUUAUGAUAAACUAAACGGAGAAAAGAUAUGCACACACACACACACACGGGGUUUAUCUCUGAUAAGCACUUAUAUUCGUGUACAUAUUCGAAAUUUCGUGAAAUAUAUUAAUAUUUCUUUUUUUGUAUUUAAAUAAAAGAAAUCGUCUCAAUUAAUAAUAUGAAUGUAACAUAUUGUUAAUAUUAUCAUAUAUUAUUAUGUAUAUUCACUUGCACGAAAGACUAGUUUUACGAAAUGUUCUGACAACAUUAUUAUUUGACUAAUAAAAUUACAACUGCAAUAAUUUGAUAAUUAAUACAAUUAUGUUCCAAUUUAGUAAUUAGUGCUUUUUUUCAACACUAGAUGGCGAGUCGAUAGGGCUUCACAGGCUCGUAAUUAUAGAAUAUUUAUAAAAAGUGCACUGAAUUUUUAAUUUUUAUAAAUAGUUAAUUCAAAAUAAUAAGUGUUAAUAAUUUAAGGAUUAUAUCAUACGAGAAUUAUUAAUUAAUAUGUAACAGUUUAUUGAAGAGAUUUUGUAAAGAUUUAUUACGUAAUUUUUUGUUAUCGUAAUAUUUCUCACGUACAAUUCAAAUCUGCCACUCUUUACGAAUAUCGCCAUUAUUAUUAUAGACGUGGUUUAUUAAGAGUUCCUAUGUAAAAAAAUAAAUGAUUCUUAAGAGUAAUUUUCAUAGAAAAUAAAGCCUGUAUCGAAAAUCUGAAAAAGUAAUUCGUGUGUACUGCAAAAGAUCGUAAUAUAGCUUCGUCGUCACGUUAAUCACAGUUUAUUAAUAUAUAUUUUCUAAUAUAAAGCAUCUUUCAAUAUAUCAAUUGAUUCUCAUUGAUUCUCAUUGAUUGUUGACGAGUUGUGACAACAUGCAAAAUAAAAGAUAUUCGUGUGGAAAAUAAUUGUACGCACGAGUAUGAACACUCCUUACAAUUUUUUUUUGAUCAGUUUUGAGCUUCAUUUCUAUAGAUAUCGAGUUGUAAUAAUUAAUUCUCAUGAUCGAAAAAUUGCAAGUUUCGUGGGAAGGGGGAGCCAUUGUAUAGCAUAUACGAGAGUUUACUUAAUUUUUUUGCUGUUGGUAGUACUGCCAUUUUGAACUAUUUUGUGAUUUGUUUGCAGAGGAGUUUUGUCGUUUCGUUAAUUAAUACAGCCUUCCAAGAAGCUUAUAAAUUAGAAAACCUACGCAGUAUGAUAGAAAUAAUGUUAUCGUAUUUACACGCACGAAUUCAACGAUUCAACGAUUCAACGAUUCAAUGUUUCAUCGAUUCAACAAUAAUUUUAAUCAAUUUCACGGCAUCAUUCGACCUACGUUGAGAAAGAAAAAAGAAAAAGAGUGAAUGAAGAAGAGAAGAAAAAAAAAAGAGAAAAGAGAAAAGGAGAAGAAAAGAAAAAGAGAAAGAGUGCUUUGCUGAGAGAAAGUAAAGUAAUUAAUUUAGAAUAAUUAAUUUAGAAUAAUUGUUUAAAUUAUUAUAUGACAAUUCGAAACAUUUGUAACUAGUAAUAGAUUUUUUUUUAGUAAUAAAUUUACAUUGAAUUAAU